rnacentral:lncRNA from 1 species
UCAGAUUUGAUUCACAGUAGAAAAUCCCAAAACAAUUGUAAUAAUCUCUCAAAAAAUAACUGUAAAGUUUAAGUCAAAAAACUAGAGAGAAGAGAUUCUCAAAACGUCCGUUCCACCCCUUAUGAUUAGAAAACCCUAACAUAUGCUUUAAAUACUUCAGCGUAAUUAUGGAAACAAAAUCAUAGAUAACAGUAUUUUUUCAAACAGGAGACGAUGUGUAUGAUGGCUUAUCAGGAGUCUGACGACUUAUGAGGAAUGUCGUCAACUCCUCUUCACUUUUGACAAUAUCUGUCUUAGGUUGACGAUGAGAUAAGACAACUUAUCAGACAUAUGACGACUUAUCAGAAUUUUUGUCGCUUCUUCACUUCAAAUCCCACUCUCUGCCUAAGCCUAAUGAUGAGCCUAAUGGCUUAUCACACAUUUGAUAGCCUAUCAUGAAUAUCAUCACGAAUUCCAGCUGAAGCCCAUUCUCUGUCUAAGCCUGACGACGAGCCUGGCGGCUUAUCAUACUUCUAAUGGCCUAUCACAGAUGUUGUCAGAAAUUCCAGUAGAAAUCCAUUCUCUGUCUAAGGCUGACGGCAACUCUGAUAGCUUAUCACAAGGCUGACGACUUAUCAGAUAAGUCGUCAUCUAUAUAUCCCGCUCUACUUGCUCAGAAAUCAACUCUUUUACUUCCAUUAUUGCUGGUUCUCUUGCAUCUUGACUUUUACUGCAACAUCAAAUGUUAAAUAAUCAAAAACGAUAAAAGUUGAUUAGUACUUUGCAAUUAUUCUUAGUUAAAAGCAUCAAAUGUGUUAGCAUCUUCUCACACAUCAACAUCCUCAACUUAAAACAAUUUUUUGUCCUCAAGCAACUAAAACGCAACUAAGAGGAUAUAGAGUACAUUCGGUAGUCAACCAUCCAUAUUAUUUCAAAACAUCUUCACCAUCUCCAAGGUCAAUUAAUUUAAAAAAAAACAAUUGUGCAUAUUAUUGAAGAACAACAAUGUGACACACAGGAAUCAAGAUAUGGCAUCAAUUCAGCAACAACAACCAUGCAUGUACCAAUAUUACACUAAACAAGUUAGCAACUAGAAAUGUAACCAGUGUGUCCUCACUACAAAGAAGUUUCACUCCACUUAUAUCAGAUAUCACAUAUGUAACCAUGGGGACAAUCAAAAGACACUUACUCUCAGAAUGAAGUUCCAAUCAAUGUAUGCCAAAUACUAUAGGCUUUCCCUUAUUUUCAUUACCAAGAUUUUCAAACAGGUCAGCUAGGACCACUAUAGGUCUUCUCUUUAGCUUGUAAUGUAGGCUAGGGGCUGGUAUGAUACUCGAUGAUAUUUAAAGUGACUAAGCCUCCUUUAUACUACACUAGAUUCUGGAGUCUCACUUAUUAACCUUUUUCUAUUCUUCUCUUUUCUUGAUCACACAUAUUCAAGAUGGGUGUGGUCUUUUCUCCAAACACUUCUUUUUUUUCACAACUUUUAUUUUCUUGUUCUUUUCCACCACACCCAACUUUUUAGUCCUUUCUUUUAUUCUACCUUUCUUCAUACUCAUUUUAUAUCACGCACCUCUAUGAUAUCCACCCUCAACUUAGGCCAUUUGCCUAAGUCAAGGAACACAGUGUCCAAGGAGGACCAGGGUGAAAACAGGUUCAUUAUGAUAUAAAUGAGACGGUGAUAGGUAUUAUAAAAAAAAAAAGAAAUAGGCUAUUCAGGCUCAAAAUAGGGAUCAAGAGAUAUUAUGCAUAUAGGGAAAGUCAUUUGGGCUAAAAGUGGCUAAUAUCAAAACGUCCUAUGAUCCUUUACUAACCCCUAUCCUUCAAUCUAGGUAAGACUAACCGGGCAAGUUCUAGAUUCAACAUACAAAGGGAACUAAGUAAGAUCUCAUACGCACAUGGAACACAAGUAUUUCACAAGUUACUACUUAUCCAAUUCAUGCAAAUGUUUAGCAAUGAUUAUCAAGUCACUAGAACUGAUACAAUAACAAGAUACACAGUGGUCACAAUUAGAUGCAAAUCACACAGUUAAACAAUUAGACCACUUGAGAGGUGUUCACAAAAUAACAAAACCACGUUAACUGCCUUAGGUACUUGUAUUUCUCCUAGUCAACCACAAAAUGUUACAACAAUAACUCACCCUACACCCUCAACUUAAAAUCAAAGAAAAACUGAACUAAAGGUUAGGGUAUACUUAGAGUAAAUCAAGCACGAGGAUCAUGGGUUGCCUCCCAUGUAGCAACUAAUUUAACGUCGCGGUACGACUCAGGUAUCUCGAUUACUUUAGACUUUAUUGAGACAGGUAGUAGCAACACUUUUUAUCUAGUCUUUUGGACCGAUAUAAAGUUUGACUCAUUGCCCAUUAACCAUGAAGAUAUUGCCGUCUUUAUUUUCAAGUUCUACUAUUCCAGAUAAGUAGACUUGACUAACUCUAAAUGGGCCUGACCACUUGGAUUUGAGCUUACCUGGGAACAGUUUGAGUUUGGAAUUGAACAGAAGUACCAAGUCAACUUCUUGGAAAUCUCGUUUCUCGAUCCUCCGAUCAUGAUGCUUCUUCAUAUUUUCUUUGUAUAAGUCUACACUUUCAUAUUCCCUGAGAAGGAAUUCAUCCAUCUUAUUAAGUUGUCCCAUUCUUAGCUCUGCUGCCUCCUUCCAAUUCAAACUUAACCUUUUAAGUGCCUAUAAAGCCUUGUGCUCCAGCUCUAUUGGUAAGUGGUAUGCUUUUCCAUACACUAACUAGAAUAGUUACAUGCCAAUGGGUGUCUUGAAAGUGGUCAGAUAUGCCCACAUGGCAUCAUCGAGCAUUUGAGACCAGUCUUGCCGACUAGCGUUCACCGAUUUAGCUAGGAUGGCUUUAAUCUCUUGAUUUGACACCUCCACUUUCCCACUAGUUUAUGGACUAUUUGGAGUAGCUACUCUAUUCUAUUUCACCCAUAUUUUGCUAAGGCAUCUCAAAACACUUUGUUGUAAAAAUGAGAUCCUUCAUCGCUUAUAAUAGUAUGUGGUACUCCAAAGUGAGAGAAGAUGUUCUUCUUAAGAAAAGCAACGACCCUCUUUCGAGACAUAGUCAAUAGCAACUAAAAUAUACUUCUUCCUAUACGAGCUUACAAAAGGACCCAUGAAAGAUACCCCAGACGUUAAACAAUUCCACUUCAAACAUCUUAGUCAAAGGCAUCUCAUGUCUUUUGGAGAUCGACCCCUGCCUCUGACAUUGGUCGCAUUUCAGCACAAACUCAUGAGCAUCCUUGAACAAUAUUGGUCAAUAGUAGCCACUCUGCAAUACCUUCCUAGCCGUUCGGUCACCUAUAUGGUGACCUCCAACUGGGGAAGCAUGACAUGCUUCCAAUAUACAUAACACAUCUACUUCUGGCACAUAUCUCCUUAUAAUAUUGUCAGGACAUCGUCGAAAAAAAUACGGCUCAUCCCAGAAGAAUGUGUCACAUUAUAAAGGAAUUUCUUUCUUUGAUGGAAAGAAAGGUUUUCUGGAAUGACCUCACUCACAACAUAAUUUGCAAAAUCAGCGUACCAAGGCAUUUUCUCCAUAGAAGCAACCAAGAUCUCCUCAUUAGGAAAUGUAUCAUUUAUCUUCAUUUUAUCACUAGCUGCCUACUCACCUUCCAUUCUAGACAGAUGAUCUGCAAUUUGGUUUUUGCAACCCUUUCUAUCUUUGACUUCAAUGUCAAAUUCUUGUAGUAGCAAUACCUAUCUAAUCAGCCUUGGUUUUGCAUCCUUCUUAGCCAUUAAACACCUUAAGGCUGUAUGAUCAAUGUGGACCACCACCUUGGUCCCAAGCAGGUAAGCCCUAAAUUUCUCAAAAACAUACACUACAGCUAGAGAAUGAUGCCCUCCUUUACUAUAAAGUGGUAUUUCUCCCAAUUAAGCACCAAAUUAAAUUCAACACAUAGUUGUAAGGCCAUACUCAGGUUUACCAAACAUAGCUAAAAUGAAUCUCCCACCACAGAGAAAUCAUCCAUGAAUACCUUUAAGGUGUCCUCCACUAUAUCUGAGAAAAUAGACAUCAUGCACCGUUGAAAAGUAGCGGGUGCAUUGCAUAGCCAAAACGGCAUUCUCUGAAAUGUAAAUAUGCCAUAUGGGCAUAUGAAUAUCAUCUUCUCCUGAUCUUUAGGAUAAAUACAGAUCUGGUUAUAUCCAGAAUAACUGUAUAAGAAGUAAUACCACCCCCUUCCGGCUAAUCGAUCAAGUAUUUGGUCCAUAAAGGGCAUCAGAAAGUGGUCUUUCAAAGUCCAUGAGUUUAGUUUGCGGUAGUCCAUGCAAAAUCUCCACUUAAUCAUAGGCCUGAGUGGAAUUAACUCAUUCUUUUCAUUUGCAAAAAUAGUCAUGCCUUCUUUUUUGGGCACACAUUGAACUGGGCUCACCCAUUUACUGUCAGAAAUUGGGUUAACCACUCAUGCAUCCAACCACUUAAUAAUUUCCUUAUUAACCACCUCUUGUAUUGGUGGGUUAAGAUGGCACUGGUGCUCGAUGGUUGGAGUACAAUCUUCCUCAAGUUGUAUUUUAUACGUGCAGAUGCCAGGGGGAAUGCUAAUAAUAUCUACGAUAUUCCAUUUUAUUGCUCUUUUGUACCUCUGAAGUACUGAAAUAAGUGCUUCUACCUGAUGCUCACCCAAAUCAUCUAUAAUAAUAAUGGGUAGCAUGUUUUCGUUGCCAAAAAAACAUACCUUAAAUGCCCCGACAGUUCCUUCAAUUCCAACACUGGUGGCUCUUCAAUGGAUGGCUUAGCCGAUGGUGUUGGUCGAUUAGCAAGAUCAAGAUCUAGCUUCUUAGGAGCAUAGGAGUAUGAACUCAUUAUUGACAAAGCACAAACAAUCAUUUAUUUAUGCUGCGGCUAAAGGCUCAACAAUAAGUUUCUCCUCUAUUGACACCUCUUUCUUAUCCUCAUAAUAUACAUCAACAAUUGAGGAAACACUCAUUUCUUUAUGUUGCUUCAUUAAUUUGCACACACCAAAUCACACCACCUCAUCAUUCAUCCUAAAUAAGAGAUCAUUAGCUUACAAAUCAAUCAACACACUUUCGGUUGUGAGGAAAGGUCGACCCAAGAUUAUGAGCACCUCAAAGUCCACCUUGCAAUCCAGAAUGAUGAAAUCCACAGGAAAUAUAAAGCUAGAUACCUUCACCAACACAUCAUACAAAAUACCAAUAGGUCAUUUUACUACCCUAUCCGCCAUCAUGAGUCACAUGUUGGUAGGUAUAGGAUUUCACAAACCCAGAUUUUUAUAUACAGCCAGUGGCAUCAGAUUAAUGUUCACUCCCAAAUCAUAUAAGGCCAUAGCGAAUUCCAGAGACCCAAUCAUAUAAGGAAUAAUGAAUGCUUCUAGGAAUGCCUUCUUCUGCACCAAGGACCUCAUAGAAAUAGCGCUACAAUAAUAGAGAAAUACCUCGUAGAUAACUGCUCCUCCUCUUCUCCUUAAGGCUUUAAGGCGAACCGUAUAACGGCUGGAAGGAAAUAUAAUCUCACCUUGUCUGGUGAUUAUCCUCCAGUUCAAAACUCACUGCUCUUUUCUUCGUCACAAGGUCCUUUAUGAAUUUAGCAUACCCUGGCAUUUGCUCGAGUGCCUCCACAAAAGGAACAUUUAUUGUUAACUACUUCAACAUUGCCAUGAAUUUACUAAAUUUGAUGUCAUCAACCUUCUUCUUCAAUCUUUGAGGAAAAGGAGGUGGUGGUCUUGGGAGAGUUUUCACCACUAUUUUUUUUUCCUUCUCUUUCCAUGUUUUGGAGCAUCAUCAGAACCAUCCAGCUUCCCAUACUCCACUAGACAUUCUUCUUUGGGUUCAUCAUCUUCUUCAAUCAAACCUUUUCCCAUAGAAGGGCCAGGUAAUAUUUUACCACUCCUAGUGGUAAUUGCCAUACAUGAGCCAUCAUUCUUUGGAUUAUGAACCAUAUUACUAGGUAACAUUCCACUCUUCCUUUGGUUCAGUGCUACAGAGAGUUGGCUCAUUUAUUAUUCCAACUAUUUGAUUAAAGUAGAGUGCAAGACUACCAACCCACUCAUAGAGGAAAUAUCGGUCUUCAUGGUAGUCACCCCUGAGUUGGUAUCCUUUACUCUCUUUAACAAUUUAUCCAUUAUGUCCUCCUGGAACAUCUUUUCAAAAUGUCUUGUAGUAGCCUCACGAUUUCCAAGAGGGACAUACAACCCGCUCCUAUCAUUAUUACUCCUCUAAUUACCUUGCUCCUGGUUUUUAUAUCCAGACUUAUAUUAAUAAGUCUGACCUUGAUUUCCUUGGAUAUUUCCUUGGAAAACCCCCUAAUUAUUUAUAUAGUCCACCUCUUCUUCUGAGUCAGACUCUACUUUGCUCUGCGAUCCCAUAGCCUUCACCUUCUCAGUUUUACCUGAUAGUAAAUGCUUGGUUAGCAAGUCCAUCUGCAAUUUUUGGUGAGCCAUGUUUUGAUCACGUACCUCAUCUUUUCUGUGUUGUUCUGCAGUCAUACCAACAGAAAUAGUGGGGCUUGCUACCAUAGAGUCCCUGGCAUGCCAUGCCUAACUCUGUUUGGUCAUUUUCUCAAGCAUUUCUGAAGCCUGUAGGAAUGUAAGAUCAACAAACAAACCACCAGCAUCAUUAUCUACAAUUUGUUUUGUCACAAAGUUAAAAGCCCUAUACAAAGUCUCCAUCAAGUGUAUGUCUGUCAUGUUGUUAUUCGGAUACUACGUCAGCUUCUUUUUGAAUCUCUCCAAGGUUUCAUGCAAGGCUUCAGUUGGGAGCUGUCUAAAGUUGCUGAUCUCAUCCCUCAACCAUACCCUCUUAGAAGGUGGAAAGAACCUUUCGAGGAAAGCUCCUUUUAACUGCCUCUAGUUGGUUAUAGAAUCGGGUGUCAGCUCAUUAAGCCAUAAUAUUGCCUCCCCAAACAGAGACAACGGAAAUAGUCUCAAAAGGAUAGCAUUCUGACCCACUCUUGGGCUAUUAAAAUCUUUAUAAAUGGUGACAAAGUCACCAGAUGUAAGUUUGGAUCAUCCCCAGGAAGGCCACCAACAACCCCUUCAGAUUGAGAAAUUGAAUCAUAGUACUCUUAAUGUUGAAUUUUGCCCCAGGUGCUAACGGUUGAGGAAUAAUUGCACCCUUUGCACCUGAUCCAUCCAUUUCAUCAUCAUCAUCACUGAGGUUAUAUUGGACCGUCUGGUGAUUUUGCCUUUCUCAGAACGGAUGGUUCCUGUUAGCAUUACGUUGUACUGGUGCAUCUAUUUUCUCUGCAUGCCUUGGGUUACCGAGGUUUAGCAACUCCUCAUCUCCCGAUUCGUCAUCCUUAAGAUUUGGAUGUUGUACUUGUUGACCGUUAUUCUAUAUAUUCACUUGAGCUCUAGCUAAGGCUGCUAACCUAUCAGCCUCCUGCUGGUCUGCCAUUCUGCCGAUUAGUUAUAGUUUCGAAUUAAAUGGUAAUAAUAGUUCUCCAAAACUUAUGGUUCUUGGCUUGCAACACAAAAUUCCUACAACAAAAAAAACAACAAAUAAAUGUAAAACUAGGAAACUUGACUAAAAGUCAAUUAGCACACACAACUUCAAUUUACAACUGUAUUCCCCGGAAAUGGCAUUAUUUUUAAUAACGCUCAAACUAAACCUCUCUUAUUAGAAUAUAAGUGAUCGUUGUCAAUAAAUAAACCAACUAGGUUAGGGUCGAAUCCCAUAGGGAAUAUGGUGUGAAUUUGAGUUAUCUACGGGUUAAUUAACUGAUAGUUAUCAAUUUCCUGUAAAUGGGGUUUUUGGAAAGGUAACAAAUAAUUACUUCUCAAUUCAGUGUUUGAAAUCAAUAUGAUAAGGAAAACCAGAGUUAUGUUCACUAUGGGUGUUGGGAUUUAACAGACGCUAGUAACAGUUUAAGAUUCUUGUGGUAGGUAGGAACAGAAGAAUAUCCUUGUCGAAGUUAUGUCUAAAUAUUUAUCAACCUAUUUAUACAUUUAACCACCUAAUUCGCUCGAACUUAGGGAAUUUAUAUUUCAUAACAGGAUGUUAUCUCAAGUUAAUUAAUCUUGUUACAGCAUUAAUUAUUAAAUGGAAGUUUGAUGCUUCCAAGUCCCAGUUGAUAAUUCACUUCUUACUAAGGUUGAUUUUUUAUCUCAAUAAAAUCACCAGUAAGCAAGGCCUAUUGUUUUCAACCAAUAGUAAGAGUAUAAAAUAAUGGAAUUAACAAGAAGUGUCUACCACCGUUAGAAUCUUGAACACUUAGUUACGUUACAAACCCAAACCCAUAGAUCCCAUAACUCGGGUUAAGGGAAUUUAGCUACUCAUAAUAAAAUAAUCAAGACAACAAUUUGAAUUCAUAGUUUGAUAUAUGAACUGACAACAAGAUGAAUAGCAACAAGUGAUUCUCAGAUUUGAUUCACAGUAGAAAAUCCCAAAACAAUUAUAAUAAUCUCUCAAAAAAUAACUGUAAAGUUUAAGUCAGAAAACUAGAGAGAAGAGAUUCUCAAAACGUUCGUUCCACCCCUUAUGAUUAGAAAACCCUAACAUAUUCUUUAAAUACUUCAGCCUAAUUAUGGAAAAAAAUCAUAGAUCACAGUUUUUCUCAGAUAGGCGAUGACAUGUGCGAUGGCUUAUCAGGAGUCUGACAACUUAUCAAGAAUGUCAUCAGCUCCUUUUCACUUUUAACAAUCUCUGCCUUAGGUUCACGAUGAGACGUGAUGGCUUAUCAGACAUAUAACGACUUAUCAUAAUUAUCGCCACUUUUACACUUUAAAUCUCAUUUCCUUUUUAAGCCUAACGCUGACCAUAAUGGCUUAUCAUACUUCUGACGGCCUAUCACAGAUGUCGUCAUGAAUUCCAGCUGAAGCCCAUGCUCUAUCUAAGCCUAACGAUGAGCCUGGCAGCUUAUCACACUUCUGACAGCCUAUCAUAGAUGUCGUCAUAAAUUCCAGUUGAAACCCAUUCUCUGUCUAAGGAUGAUGGCAACUUUGAUAGGUUAUCACAAGGCUGACGACUUAUCAGACAGGUCAUCAUCUAUACUUUCCUUUCUACUUGCUCAGAAAUUAAGUCUUUUACUUCCAUUAUUGUUGGUUCUCUUACAUCUUGACUUUUACUGCAAUAUCAAAUAGAAAACAAUUAAAAACGACAAAAUUUGCUUAAGCCUUUGCAAUUAUUCUUAGUUAAAAGCGUGAAAUGUGUUAGCAUCUGUUCACACAUAAUUUUCCUCUUGUUAUCAUUCUCCUCUUGUUACCUUUUAUUUUUUAUUUGAUCCUGGUGUAUUCUUGUUGUUUUUAUGCUAAAAGUGUCGUAACUCAUCACUCGGGGAUGAAUGAUCCUAAGGAGGGAGGGUAAUGUAAGACCCCUUAAAAUUUUGAUCAUUUUAUUCUUGAUCCUCCAGCAUGUGUGAUGUUGAUAUUUGACUUAAAUUAUAUUAAGAGAUAUUAAAAAGGUAUUUUGAGAAAGUUUUAUAAUUUUUGGAAGGGGUUUGGGGUCAUUUUGGGACCACGAGGAAGUGAGGGUCUGUGAUAUUAGUGUACCACAGAGGUUAGCCUCCACGGUAUUGGUGUGGCACCAAGGCUAUCCUCCAUGAUAACGUUGUGCCAUGUUGAUGGGUUAAUUUUAUUUAGUUUUGUUUUUUCACUUAUAGUGAGGUUUUGGUCUUUGUACCCCUUAAAUGACCUUUACAUAUAAAAUAAGACUCUUUUCAUGAGUUUUCAAAGAUGAAAAUCAUCCAUUCACUCAUAAAACUCAAAACCCAAGAACAUUCAAGGGUUCUAAAGUGCAUUCAUUAUCCAGGCUCCAAAACUACAAAUUAACUUCAAUUUCUGGUGUGUUUCUGGCAUGUUUCUCUUCCUUAAACUUGAAUUUUACAUUGUGGCAUUAAUUCAAUGGAUUACAUGCAAUUCAAAUUUUGGGUUUUGAAACUAGGUUAAUGGGUUUUGAUUAAUACUAAUUGAACUAUUUCUCCCACAUUUUGAAUUGGUUAUUCAUGCUUUAAAUUGAUUUUUUGGGAAUGAAUUGGUACAUUCUUUAAAUGGUUGGAAUGGAGAAGAAGGCUUUCCCCAAACUGGAUGAAUUUUGACUUGGAGUUGGUAUUAACCUCAACUCGCGUUAUAAUCUUGUUUUGAAAAAUUUCAUUGUUUAACUUGAUUUUUAACUUAACGCAUUGCAUUAAUGAAUAAAUGGGUAUACAAAUGGAUUUGGAUGGCCUUGGUGGCCAUGGUUUGGAUUUUAAAUAGAACUUGAGAGUUAAUAUGGUUAUGUGGAUUAGUUUGGCAUGUUUAAUUUAGCUUUCAAGGGUAUUGGUAUGACGAUACUAAGUGGUAUGAAUAAAUUAAUGAAUAAAUCUCAGGUUAAUGGUUGGAAUUAUAGGCAAAUUGAUUUUAAUUUGGGCUUAAAGGGGGGGUUGUGUAGCUCACUAAUGUUGGGUUAAUCUAUGAAUUCUAGUGUUACUUUUAUAGCCUAUUUAGCCUUGUUUUGAGGAUGAUUCAUGUUCCUAAUGUGUUUACAAUGUUUAAAGGUGUUUUCAAAUGAGUUUUGAUUCAAAUUGAUCAUUUAGAGUUCAACGGAAAAAAUUCGUGUUACUAGCUUGAGUUAGGUGUUUGUCUAGUCUAUCAUGUUGGGUCUAACGUGUUUAAUGAGUUACUAAGGUUUUGAUUAUGUAUUUAUAUGUGAAACAACUUGUUGGUAAUGUUCAAGGGUCAAUUGGCUCAAUACAAGAGUCGAAAUAAUGAGUUAAAGAUCAAAGUGAAAUUAGCCUGUGCUUAGCUCGUGUUUUUAUUCACCGCCUUAGAUAUUGUGUUAUGUUGAACUCUAAAUUGCUGUGUUUAAUGCUAUAGUGUGCUUGGUUAAUGGAUUAUGAUGAUAUAUUAAGGAUAUACAUGCUUCAAAUCAAGUGUAAAAAAACUCAAAAAGGCUUGGAAUGGAUCACGAAAGCACAAUAUGUAACUUGACGCAAAUUUGGACACCUGAAAUGUUUUACGCGAGUUAGGUAAUGUGGGAAGGACUAUUGGUGCGUCCUACACGCCAAAAGACUUAGAAGGCACCCAAAACAGUGUAACCUUGUGAUUAGGGCGCGUCAUGACCCCUACUCAAGUCAAAUGGCCCUCUUGAUGUAUUCUUUGUUCCAUCGACAAACAAAUUCGCCUCCUAUAAAUAGGGCACUUGUAAUUGAUGCUAAACAUCUUGGACUACUUUGAAACUUGGAGAGGGGCUGGAAAAACUUCAAUUAGGGUUUUUUAUUUAUUUACUUUAGCUUUUUAAUGGAUUUUAUAUUGUAUUUAAUUAUCUUGAUUACGGUUAUUUCUAUUUGCAGCUAAAUGCCCUUUUCGGGGUUAAGGCCAAGAAUAUGACUAGUUUCAUUUUGAAUUAAGUUUAUUAAGUUUAUUAUCAUUAUUGGUUGUUUUUUUGUUCUUAUUUUAAUUAUUUUAAGGAUUAGUUACCCUUAGAAUACAUCAAUUGUCAACCUUGUGAACUUGGGAGAGGGAAUAGGGCGAUAGAACAUGGGAAUAAACAAAGAAUGGUUUGUAUUAUUUUAUGAAAUAAGAAAUUCAAAUUAGUGUCUAGGAUAGGGAUGUACUUGGUUGCCUUAUUUGAUUCACACAUAGGAUGAUAUUUUAAAGAUUUUAAUUGAAUACUACUUCCCCGCUCAACGAUGUAGUUGUAAUGUUCAAAUUAGGUAAAUGGUUAGAGGUUGGGAGACCAUAAUCGCCUGAUCAAACCUAUGAAUCAACAACCAAGAUAAGUAAUUUAAUGUAUAAAGUUCAAUAAUGUAGUAUGAUUGUUCGUAAGCCUUAACCCUGUAUCUCUACCCAUUGAUUGUCCAGAGUCAUUACUUUUCCACUUUAGUUUAGUUUCUUUUUAGUUUUCAAUUCUAAAACUCUAUUGUUUACUUUUUCUCGAUUCUUAAACUAUAAUUGGGUAGUUGUCAACACAAGUCCCUGUGGGAUCGAUACUUGGUUCUUGAAGGCCACUUUACUACUUAGUAGACCACGUACACUUGCGUGUGCUCUUGGGCGCUGUCACUCACCAUGAAGGUGUAAGUCCUGGGGGGCCAAACACCGGAAACCACAUUUGAUGGCGUUGGGGUCUAUAUGACAGUAUACUUGACACAUACUUGCUAUACAUAUUUGGUACGGCUAUUUCCCACGGUGGCUUUAGUUUUACCUUUGUUUUUCCUUGCUCCGUGCGGCUAACAUACACUGAGGCCCUUUCAGCAGAGGGAGUUGAACCCAUAUAGCCUAUAAUUUCUAGUAUGCUGGAUUAAGUUACAUAGUCCAGGUUAAUGAUUAAAAGAUUUAAUGUUCAUGAUCCUUGCCCUUUCCAAAAUUCAUAUAUAUGUAUAUAAGAAUGUGUGCUUGUGGUUUUGACUGAUUUUUGAUAUGGCAUUAUUUGAUCACUUUCCUUGAGUUACAUGACAGUGCUUAUCCCACUAACCAUCCUAGGAUGCUACAUCAUUUCAUGAUAUAGGUCCAAACACAUUUUUGUUACUCCUAUGCAGUAUUAGGUUGUGCGGUGCAUUUGUUAAGUUGAUGUUAAGUGGUGAUUUUCUUCGUUUGCACACUAUCUAAAGACUACAUCAUUUCAUUAUUCUUUCUUUACUAACUAAAGUUCCUUUAUAUUCUUUUUGUUCAUAGUCCAGAGCAUGUCCCAACUUAGCUAUUAUUCUAGUUUUAAAGGCUUUUGUAGACAAUUUUAGGUUGGUUAUUGUUUUGACACUUAGUUUCAUUUGAGUUAUCUAUUCAUCUUCUUAUUACUGUUGAUUAGGUUCUGCUUAUUGUUAUUAUUAUACUCCUGAGGUUAGGAUAAGGGGGUGGUCUCCGAUCCAUAGUAGGCUUGAGAUGCCCGUCAUGACUAGGUCCUAGUUCUUAUUGUGACAAGAUUGGUAUAAGAGCCCAAUUUAGGGUUAUUGGGUGUCCACAAAGCCGUGUUUAAUAGAGUAUUAUUUAUAGGUGUGUAGCACGUCACACUUAUAAAGAGGAGGCUACAAGGUAUUUAGGAAUGUUUUUCUUUCUUGUGAUCCAUUUUGGGCUAUAGAGUCUAGUUUUAUGAAACUUCUUAAGCUCCUGGCUUCCUCACAAUUAAGAUCAUGCCUCCCAAAGAUCUAAUAUUUGUAGAAACUUUACUGGAAAAUCUAUCCUACCUGAGCAUAAUACGGAGGGGACUCACCCUAUGUAUAGAAUGUACACUUGGUCUAGGGUCCCUGCUCCUGAUUGUACUACCCCAUGUUGAAUUCCACCGAUCACUACUAGUCCUUCACGAGCUUUCUAGGAUGGUGAUACUUAUGAUCAGCCACCUCUGAGAUAUAUCUUUAAUACGGAUUUCCUUUAGUACAGGGGUUUAUUGAUGAGAUAGAAAAGAUCUUUACAGUGAUGCAUACUACUUAUGUGGAGGGUGUUGAGUUUGCUGCUUAUUAGUUGAAAGAUGUAGCUUAUUAGUUGUAUGAAAAAUGGGAAGGUAUGAGGGGUGAUGAUGUUGAGCAGGUAGUAUGGGAUGACUUUUCAAGGGCCUUUAUUGAUCACUUCUUUUAUCUGGAGUUAAGGGAAUCUAAGGCUGAGGAGUUUGUUAACCUGAAGUAAGGGAAGAUGACUGUGAAGGAGUAUGCUCUAAAGUUUCAAUGGUUGUCCCGUUAUGAUCCAAAGUUAGUGGCUAACAUGAGAUCCAAGUUGACAAAGUUUGGUUCUGGGUUAUCUCGUAACUUGGUAUUACAGUGUAAAGUUGUAAUGCUGAAUAAUGAUAUGGACAUCUCUAGACUUGUAGUUUAUAUGCAACAAGUUGAGAAUAUGAAAAAAAAAGCAAGCAGCGAUGGGAGAAAGUCAAAACAAGAAGUUUAGGUAGUUAGAGAAGGGUGGGGGUCAACAAAAUAGUAAAAGAGAUUGUGGAAAAUAGACUAAAAAUAAGAAUUAGUGAACUUCAUAUUUGACUCCUAGUUCUUCUUAUCCUAAGCCUUCGGGCGACUAUCAUUCUCAGGCUAGUAAUGGUCCUAAGCCACUAGUUCCCAGUCUCACGCUAGUGGCUCAGUAAGACCCACCUUAUCCUCCUUGUCAUUUUUAUGGGUAGCUUCCCCAUGGAUAUUAUGAGAAAGGGAGAAAUCGGUGUUAUAAUUAUGGUCAACUAGGUCACAUGCAGCGAGAUUUCCUUUUAGUCAGGGUUUUCACUAAAGGUAAUAAGGUUUUUUACCACUUAUUCAGCUCCUAUGCCAAAGGGUGCCACUUUUAGUUCCAGCACUCGCUUGAAUCAUCUCUAAGCAUAUACUACUACCUUGGAAUUUAAGGCAUCUCCAGAUAAUGUUACUAUUAUGUAAUAGCUCUUUUUCUGUGAUGUUUAUUGUUUGCUUGAUCUAGGUUCUACCCUAUCUUAUAUGACCCCUUAUGUGGUUGUGUAUUUUGCUUUUGGCCUUAAAAGUAUUUUUUACCCCUUUUCUGUGUCGACUCUAUUAGGUGAUUCUAUAGUUGCUAGAAAAAUCUAUAGAAGUUGUGUGGUGUCCAUCUUUCAUAGGGAGAUAUCAGUGGAUUUAAUAGAGUUAGAUAUAGUUGAUUUCAAUAUUAUCUUUGGGAUGAAUUGGCUUCAUUCAUACUAUGUUUCUCUAGAUUAUAAAAGUUGAAAGGUCAGUUCUCACUAUCCUAGGGAAUCGAUAUUAGAAUAGGGGGGUCCUUAGUACCUAAAGGGAGGUUUAUCUCUUAUCAUAGAGCUCAGAAAUUAAUUUUAAAAGGGUAUCUAUGUCAUCUAGUUCAAAUUAAGGAUUCGGUCUGUGAAAGUCCUCUUUGUAAUUUAUCCCUGUGGUAAAUAAAGAUCCUAAAGUGUUUCCCGAUAAUCUUCCUGGAAUUCCUCCUGAUAGGGAAAUAGACUUUAGGAUUGAUAUUUUAUCGGAUGCUCGACCUAUUUCUAUUCUUACUUAUAGGAUUGAUUCGACUGAAUUAAAGGAGCUAAAGGAGAAACUAAAGAAUCUUCUUAAUAAGGGUUUCAUUUAUCCUAAUGUUUCUUUGAGGGUGCUCCUCUACUUUUGUGUGAAACAAAAAUGGGUCUCUUCGAAUGUGUAUAGAUUAUCAUCAGUUGAAUAAGGUGACGGUGAAGAAUAAGUAGCCUCUUCCUAGGAUUGAUGACUUUUUUUCUCAUCUUCAGGGUGCUACGUGUUUCUCUAAAAUUAAUAUUCAUUCGAGUUAUCAUAAGUUAAAAAUUUGGGAUGUUGACAUUCCUAUGACUCUUUUUUGAACCCGGUAUGGUCAUGAUAAGUUUGUAGAUACGUCAUUUGGGUUGACUAAUGCUCUGGUUAUGUUCAUAGAUCUUAUAAAUUUGGUUUUCAAGUAGUUUCAGGAUUUGUUUUUUAUUGUUUUCAUUGAUGAGAUCUUGGUGUAUUCUAAAUAUUGGGAAGAUCAUGAAAUCACUUCCGAAUUGUAUUACUAACUCUUAAGGACUAGGAAUUGUAUGCAAAAUUUUCUAAGUGUGUGUUUUAGGUAAAUAUUGUGACCUUUCUUCAUCACAUUAUUUCUAGUGAGGGGAUCAAAGUGGAUCCACUAAAAGUUGAGGCAGUUAAGAAAUGGCCAAGACCCAUGAUUCCAACUGAUAUUAGGAGCUUCCUAGGCCUUGCUGGGUAUUAUUGGAGGUUUUUGGAAAAUCUCUCAUCUAUUGCUUCUCCGCUGACUAGUUUGACUGAAAAAAGGUUAAGUUCUUCUGGUCCAGUGCAUGUGAGGGUAGUUUUGAGAAGUCGAAGGAUAAGCUGACUUUUGAGCCAAUUUUAAUCCUGUCUGACGAUACUAAUGGUUUUGUUGUGUUUUUGUUGUGUUUUGUGAUGCAUCCCAUGUAGGAAUAGGUUGUGAUUUAAUUCAUCAUGGUAAGAUUAUGGUCGAUGCUUCUAGGCAGCAUAAGGUUCAUGAGAGGAACUAUCUAACUCAUGAUCUAAAGUUUCCAGAUGUGGUCUUUGCUUUCAAAAUUUGGCGCCAUUAUCUAUAUGGGGUCAUAUAGAUAUCUAUUUGGGUCAAAAGAGCUUAAAGUAUGUGUUUACUCAAAAGGAGUUGAAUCUCAGGUAGAGACGGUGGCUCGAAUUGAUUAAGGAUUAUGACAUGAGUCUUUACUACCAUCCAGGUAAAGUUAAUAUUGUUGUUGAUGCUGUUAGUAUGUUGACUAGUGGAGCUUAUCCCAAGUUGAUGAGGAUAAAAAAGGAUUGGUCAGGGAUAUUCACAGUCUAGAUAACUUGGGAGUCAGUCUUUUGGACUUUGGAGAUAACGGAGUAAUUGUCCAAGAAAUGGUGAAAUAUCUCUAAUAGCGGUGGUGAAGAAGAAGUAGGCUUUUAAUCAUAUACUUAUGCGAAUUAAGGAUGAGGUAGGUUAGCAAAAGUUUAUGGUUUUGAGAUUAGGGGAGAUAUCAGCUUGAGGUAUUAAGGUAGGUUGUCUAUUCUUGAUGAUUGAUGGGAUACGUAAAAGGAUUUUGACUGAGGCUCGUGAGUUUGCAUAUACAGUUUAUCCGGGUUUUACUAAGAUGUAUCACAACUUAAAGGAAAUCUAGUGGUGGAAUAAUAUGAAGAAGGACGUGGUAAAUUUUUUUGCUAAGUGUAUGAUUUAUUAGCAAGUUAAGGUAGAACAUUUUAGGCCUAGUGGCAUAUCUCAAGAGAUAAAGUUACCAAUGUGUAAGUGGGAGAAAAUAAAUAAGGAUUUUAUUACGGGUCUUCUAUGGUCUCGCAAUCAGUAUGAUUCAAUUUGGAUCAUUGUGGAUAGGAUGAAUAAGUCCGCACACUUUUUACUGGUGAGGACUAACUACUCAGGAGAGGAUUAUGCCAAGUUCUUCAUUUAAUAGAUUGGAGAGUUGCAUGGUGCGCCAGUGUCUAUUAUUUCAAAUUGAGGUACGCAGUUUUCUUCUCACAUCUGGUAUUUGUUUCUGAAAGGUUUGGGUACACUGGUGAAUCUUAGCACUGUUUUCCACCCUCAAACACAUAGGCAAGCGGAGCAUACUAUUCAAACUUUGGAGGAUAUUCUAAGGGGAUGUGUGAUUGAUUUUAAAGACAACUGGGUUGAUUAUUUGCCUCUUAUUGAGUUCGCGCACAACAAUAGUUAUCAUUCUAGCAUUCAGAUGGCUCUUUUUUAGGCUCUUUAUGGUAGGAGGUGUAGGUAUCCUAUUAGAUGGUUUGAGGUUGGUGAGACUAGGUUAUUUUGUGCUUAUUUGGCACAGCAAUCCAUGGAGAAGGUGAAGGUGAUUAAAGAAAGAAUUAAUACUACUCAAAGUCGCCAAAAGUUUUGUGCGGAUAUGAGGCAAAGAGAAUUAGAGUUUGAAGUAAGUGACUGGGUGUUCUUGAAGGUGUCUCCUAUAAAAGGAUUCAUGAGGUUUGGGAAGAAGAGGAAGAUCAAUCCUUGUUACGUUGUUCCAUAUCAGAUUUUAAGAAGAAAUGGGAAUGCGGAUUAUGAGUUGGAUUUGCCUGUGAGUUUGGGUUCCAUUCAUCCUAUUUUCCUAUGUCCAUUUUGAAAAAGUGUGUGGGUGAUUUGUCCUUAAUAUUGUAUAUUGAGGAUGUUGGUAUUAUGGAUUCCUUUUCUUAUGAGGAAGUCUUAGAUGAAAUAUUGGAUAGACAAGUUCAUAGAUUAAGUACCAAGGAUGUAGCUUCGGUGAAGGUUUUUUGGAGAAAUCAAAAGGUGGAAGAAGCUACAUGGGAAGCUGAGGAAGAUUUAAAGUCCAAAUACCCAUUAUUGUUCAUCGGGUGGGAUGAAAGCGCUUAAGGUAUGAGCUUUAUUUCCCUUUUUUUCCUUCCGAGUUUGCCAUUUGGUUCUUGUGUAUUCAUGUUAUUCUCAUGCUAAAAGUGUCCUAACUAAUCAUUCGAGGACGAAUGAUCCUAAGGAGGGUGUAAUGUGAGACACCUUAAAAUUUUGAUCAUUUUAUUUUUGACCCUCCUAUGUGUGUGAUGUCUAUUUAUGACUUGAAUUAUGUUUAGGGAUGUUAACAGGGUUUUUGGGGAAAGUUUUGGAAUUUUUGGAAAGGGUAAGGGGUUAUUUUGGGACCUUGACGCAGUGAGGGUCCGCAACCAUAUUUGCGUUGCCCAAAUGGUAGAGAAUAGAGAUAUCAUACUCCUUUAGUAACUUAAUCCAUCUUUAUUUCCUUGAAUUAAGCAAAUAAAGAUCUCAAGUGAACCCCAUACAAAUACUACAACCAAAUCCUACGUGCAAACACUACCGCUUCCAAAUCUAAGUCAUGAAUGGGGUAGUUGCACUCAUACACCUUUAGUUGCCUCAACACAUAUGCAAUAACACGGCCCCAUUGCAUUAGAACACACCCCAGUCCAACACUAGAUGCAUCACAAUAGACAAUAAAACCCUUACCCUUAACUAGAAGAGUCAGAACAGGAGCUGAAUUAAGCAACCCCUUAAGCUUUCAAAAUCUCAUCUCAGAACUCGCAAACAACUGAAAUAGAACCUCCUUCCUGGUCAAUAUAGUCAUAGGGGCUACAAUAGAACAGAAACCCUAUGAACCACAUUUAGUAACUUGUCAACCCAACAAAACUACGAACCUUAGUAGGUGACGUAGGACUAGCCCAACUAUGAAUAGACUCAAUCGUUGUUGACUUCACUAUAAUACCAUCUUUGGACUCUAAGUUCGCCAAGAAAUCUGCAGAUGCAAGCUAGAACACGAACUUAGGGAACUUGUUAUAAAAUCGAUGAUCUCUCAAAGUGUGGAACACAGUCCUUAAAUAUUUCUCCUUUUCCUUCUAAUUAAUAUACCAGAAUAUCAUCAAUAAAUACUACCAUAAAGGAGUCCAACUAUGGCCUAAACACACGGUUCAUCACAUUCAUAAAAGUUUUUAUGGCAUUGGUCAGGCCAAAAGACAUCACUAGGAACUCAUAAUGAUCAUAAUGUGUCCUGAAGGUUACCAUAUGGAUGUCUACAGCCCUAACUCUUAACUGAUGGUAACAUGACCUCAAAUAAAUCUUGAAAAGCAUUGUUGUACCCUGAAGCUAGUCAAAUAAUCAUCAAUACAAGGAAUAUGAUACUUAUUCUUCAUAGUCACCUUAUUCAACUUCUUGUAGUCAAUAUAUAUAUAUAUGAAUAGAGCCAUCUAUCUUCUUCACAAAUAGAAAGAGAUAAAACCCCACACAUUCGAUCUAAUAAAACCCUUACCUAGAAGAUCUUGAAGCUAACUAUUCAGCUCUUUUAUCUCAGUAGGAUCCAUAUAAUAUAGAUCCAUAAAAAUAGAUUGGGUGCUUGGCUCAAGGUAAAUAACAAACUCUAUAUCACUCUCAAAAGAAAGGACAACUAGGUCAGUCAAAAACGUAUCAGGAAACUUGCGAACAACAAAGAUGGAUUCAAGUAAUGCACUCCCAACACUAACAUCCCAAACAUAUGCAAUAACUGACUCACAACCCCUUAAUAUUAGUCUUCUAGAUCAAAUGUAAGAAAUAAUCCUCGUCGGUGCAUGAUUAAUAAAACCCUGCCAUACAUUUGGGGAUAUACAAGUCAAAGCUAAGGUAAAGAUCGUAGUAUGACCAUAUGGUAAGGUGAUAACCAAUCCAUGCCUAGAACCACAUGAAAAUCUACCAUAUCUAGGAUAAUCAGAUCAAUUUGAGUAUCAAGCUGCCGAACAGUUACCAAACAAGAUCUAUAUACCAGAUCCACUACUAAAGAAUCACCUACCGAGGUAACUACACACAAUGACACAGAUAAAGAUGCUAACAUAAACCCAACCAUGAUGCAAAAUAGGCAAAAACAUGUAAAAUACGGAAUUGAUAUCAAACAAAGAAAAAGUUUCCUGAUGGUAUAUGAAAAUCGUACCUAUGAUCAUAGCAUCUGAAGCCUCAGCCUCUAGUCUACCUGGUAUAGUAUACAAAUGGACAGAGUUUCUAUCCGGCCACCUAUCCUAACUCUAUGUGAACCACCUUUAAAACCUUAAGGACCACACCUAUGACCUAUACACAACCCCUGGCUGGCGACAGUACUGAUCUAAGCAACUGUACAGUCUGAACUAAAGUCUCAAUCAACCAAUGCUGGGGACACUCACGGGCAAAGUGAUCAACAACCCUAUAAUUAUAACAUAUCUCAGGCAUCCUGUUCUAUCUAAAACUACUAGCUAGACCACUAGAACUACUAUAACCGAGCUAACCCCUGUCUGAUAUCUGAAAUGAUGCCUAAACUAGCUGACUAGGCUGACCAUGAUACUAAUAAGGCUACUGUUGGGGGUACCUACUAUGAAACCCUCAACCUCUGAAUUAUGAAUUGUUAUGGAUCCCACUAUAACUGCCCUUGUAACGAGGUUUCUUAUCGCAGCCCCCAUUGUAUUCAUGACCCAUAUCUUCUAUAUAAUAAACAUGCUUAAAAAUAUCAAAAGAAGACUUUUCAAGGUUUUCUUGAUUUUUCUAAAUUAAUUACGUGGUGACUCUAUUUUCAAAUAUCGACUUUGAAAACUUUUUCCAAAGUAUUUUAAUUCAUAAAAAUUGCACUAGUCAUCUUUUCUCCACAAAAUAGAAAUGGCAACUCUAAUGGGGAAUUUAACUUAGUUCUAACCAAAUAUUUGAAUUAACAUCUUUGACUAACUAUUCGGGUUUGAAAUAUUUAAACUGUUUGCAUGCUUAUGUCUUUAAAUUUUUGUGAUGCUAAAAAUUGUCCCACUUCAAGUCAUACUUCAACAUUUGUAAUAUAUAAAUUAUUUGAGGGUUUUCGAUUGUCGCAGCCCCUAUUGUUCAAUUUCAAAUAAAGUGUUGGGGAUACAAUGAUUUAUUGGCGCGUUAGGCGUCCGAUGGCUGUUUCUAUUUUUAAACCCUAGUUUUCUACUUGAGAACCUGAUUCAAGCCCACUCUAUACACCUAGGAUAAAGCAAAACAAAAACCCUCUUUUUAGGUAUUAGCCUAGGAUGACCCAAUACCUGAGGGGGUAUUGAGCCCAUUAGAAAACCUACCCUACGUAUAUUAACCAAAAGUCAAUUACAAAAAAAUAAUGCUUAUAUUUUGAUGAAAUAUAUGUUAUUUAAUCCAAUCCAUUGUCCUUUUGAGGUAGGGAGAACUCUUACUUUGUUUGCUUUCAUAUAGGAAUUGUUCAAUCGUAUCCUUGCAGAAAAUUCAAAAUGGUUACCAAACCCAAUAACUUUCUUAAAGCGUGGUGGUUCUAUAUGAGUACAAAAUAUAAAGAGACUAUUAGGACACAUAUCGGGCACCUACCUUCACUUAUGGAAAUAGACACUUGGUCUGAAAUGAUCCACGUGCUAAUGAAAUAUUGGGAUGAUGACAACAUGAUGUUCCGCUUUACGAAAUUUGAAUUGAUCUACACUAUCAAAGAAGUGGUAACUUGUUUUGAGAUCAUCUUUAUGUUCUUUAAAAGGAGGAGAAUACACCCGAUAAAAAUAUUCUAGUCUCUAUCUUAUGGAUCCAUUAAAACAUCCAGGAUGUCUUUUCGAUUAAAGGUGAUACUUGGUUGGGGGAACAUGAAAGGGAAAACAUACCUUUUCACGAGUUGUACCUCCAGUUUGGAAGGUAUAAUGCUUUUGAAAAAUUCAGGCAAAAACUUGAAUUGGAGUCAAAAUAGAAGGAGAAAAGAUUAUUUGCCUUCACAGUGGGCUUACUUAGAACUAUGGCGCUCCCACAAGGAGUGAAUGGCACCACUCAUACAAGUGUCGUCAUGGUGACAUAUGCCCUAUUUUACAUAGUGAAUUAUGGUUCCACUAAGUUAUGCCAUACCUUAUCCCCUAUGAUCGUCACUGAAAUAUAUCAAGCUUCAGGAAAUUGUUAGAAGGAACGACGUUUCUUUCAAAGAUGUAUUACAAUGGUGGAUGAUGAAGCAUUUUUAACAAAAACCUAGAAUGUAACAACAAGACCCUCGAACAAGCAUAUAUCUUUUACUAUCGCAUAGCAUUUGGUUGUCUCUACAAACUUUUAAGAGGGAAAAGACUUUAGGAUUUUCGUUCAAGAUUUUAAGGUAAUUAGGAGAUGACGAUGUCCAAUGGUUGAUCAGAUAUCUUUAUUCAGGAAAUUAAAUUAUUUGAGGAAAUGAAUAGCAAUUUUAGUACUUCUAGGACUCAGGGGCACUCGUCUAUAUAAUCCUGACUCCUUAGACAAUUUAAAGUUAAGCAGGAAAUAUCAUAAACUACAUCUAUAGGAUUCAUCACCAAUUAUAAAGAAGGAGAGACCCAACUCAAGAAAUUCAUGUUGUAGGAGUGGCAGAGAAGAAAUCCUAGAGAAACCUCUUUUUUCAUUGGGUAUGAACCCAAGGUUAGUGACACUUACAAAGAAUGGUUAAAGAAGAAUCUUUCCGAAGCAUUGGGGCCAGGCCCUAAUGUGCCCAUAUAAAUCAUUGAUGUUGAAUUGAAACAUCAAAUUUGGCUCCAAAGGCUCAAGGAUGAAUUCCUAAAAAGUGAUAUUUCAUACCAAUAAAGGAAUAUGUAGCAUGUCUCAACCAUACACCAAUUAAGAGAAGAAUUAAAGGGAGCAGGCAAGAGGUGGAUGAUGCUAGGCGGUGUUUUAUUGAUGUUUGCAUGGUUUCCUAGGUUGAUAGCACAGUGAAAAUGACUUAUGAUAAUAGAGCACAAUUAUGAAAGAGUUAUUUUAUCACCAACAGAUAUCGCAUAUGGCAAGAGGUAGACAAAGCUAAGAGGGCGAAGGUCAAUAAUGGAUCAUCUGGAUGUUAGUUUUUUCUAUUUUUAUCCUCUAUGUGAGAACUUAUUCUUUUUCUCGUGUUUAUUUUCCUUUUUCUACAGAUUGUGUCCCUUUUGUGCAACUUCAUACGCAUUUAUGCCCUUUUACAUAUAUAUGGAUAUUUUGGGGGGAUAAUGAAUUGGUGUUAAAAGGCACAUAUUCCUUCAAACUUGUUGGACCAAACCUUGGCUUAAAAGGGUUACCCAAUUAGGAUAUGCAUUUAUUAUAAUGUUGUUGUAUGAUAUAACUGGCUUACUCUAAAUUUCUCCCUUCAAUUCCCCUAUUCAAGGGAGUCAUCCAAGUAACAUAUCAUUCACCCUCGCUUUCUAGUUACCCACAGAUCCUAUCAUCAAUAAUCCACUAAUUCACACUCUACCUGUCCAAAAUACUAAUCGAGAUAACAACCCAGAUGCUUUCCAUCCCUAACUCCACAAAAUCCAUCCCCAACUCUACAAAAUUCAUCCCUGAUUCCAUAAAGUCACUCUCAAAUUCUACCAAACCACUAUUAAGUUCCACAAAAUAUUCCUAAUUCUCAAAAUGCCCCUACCUACCACCCAACUUUUUCUCAUCCUCAAAAUUAAGCUAUCAUCCCAAAUUUCUCUCAUAUUCGACCUAGGCCUCCAACCCAUUUCUAUCUCAUUAUAUCCCGUAAUAUCUAUAACCCCUUUCCUAAUCUCGAGAUAUGCCAUCAUGAGGAGAAGGAAAAGAAAUAGAGGACCGAGCAAGAAAAAAUUACUGGCCACGAAUUAAGAGAUUAUGAGAAAUAAGGAAUCUCAUAGGGUAGGGGAUAAUGAUAGUCUUGGUUAUGAUAAUUUAUGUGUUCAACCUAGGGUGGGUAUACUAAAAUGGUAUAAAAUCCCUAAGUUUGAGAUGUUCAACGACACCAGAAACCCCAUGGAUCAUUUAAGAAGAUACUAUGAUCAAAUGGUCGAAGUAAGAAUGAAUGAGGCAUUGCUAAUGUGCCUAUUCAGUCAAAGUAUAAGCAGCGAAGAUUUAGAUUGGUUUAUAUCUCUAGAACUAAAAAUCGUCUGAUUGGGGGAAUUAGAUAAAAGCAUUGUCAAUAAGUUUGCAUACAAUAUUGAAAUAGUCCUUGAUCGACACUCACUAUACCAGAUUAAGCAGAAGAAUGAUGAGUGUGUUCGAGACUAUGGAUACCGCUGGUGAAAAGAAGAUACUAUAGUACAACCUCCCAUGAUUGAAGAGAAAAUAGUGUUUAUGUUCUCUUAUGAUCAAGAGGGAAAAUUUUAUACCAGGAUGGUAUCAGUGAUCCGAAAAACAUUCAUAAAUUUAGAAAGAAUUGAGGAGUCGCUAGAAGAAGGUACUCGAUGGUUAAGAUUAUCAAAACCCCAACAUCAUUUGGGACUUUUGGGUUCUCAAAGAAGAAAAGAUAAGAUGUGAGUGCAGUCUCCACUAAUGUUGCCAAAUUGAAGAAGAAAUUCAAGCCUAAGAACACUUUUUUUCUCCACCACCCCCAAGUCUUCAAUUCGUCUUCUAUGCCCAACCUCAAUACCAAGCUCCACAUCCAAAUAUCCAACCCCAGUACCAUGUUCCACAACCAAAUAUCCUAACCCAAUAUUAAUCUUCAUAGCCAAAUAUUUUACCCUAAUAUCAAGUUCUACAACUAGAUUGUCAUACUAAUGUUCGAACCACCCAUCCAAAUAACCAAACAAAUAUCCCAGCACCUCCAAAUUAUCAUCAAGUACCACCUCCCAGUAGAAAAAACAAUUACAACCUUCCUCGUCUAAACCUUAAGAAGAAACCUUCUCAAAACUUCACUUCAUUAGCUGAAACUUGAACCCAACUCUUUUAAAUAUUAAGAGCAAUUAGCUAUCUACAGUCCAACCAAAACCUACCAAUCCCAAUUCUCAAUUUUUUUCAUGUCGAUCAAAAUUGUACCUAUCAUUUAGGAGUGGUCGGGCACAAUAUUAAAGAUUAUAUUAAAUUGAAACAUAAGAUCCAAGAUUUAAUUGACCAAAAGGUUAUUACUCUUCAAUCACCAAUAUCAAAUGUCAAUAGUAAUCCAUUACCUAAUCAUGGGGGAGCUAUGGUCGACAAGAUCAAAAUAAAGGAUGUAUAGGUAGUUGGCAAGAGUAUACUUGAGGUUGAAUUGGAAAAGUCCAAAAAAAUAGAGGGAGUGGAAAAGAUAAAGAGAGUCAUGGCCUCUUUAAGUGUCAAUGAAAGGCCCUUAUUUUAGUGAUCACAUCUCGACUUAGGCAUAUUCUCCACCACCACCUAGGAAAAAAUUCAUUAUAUAGACUACCACCACCCAUGGGAUGUCACGGUCUAGACGAUGCUAUAUUCCCAAAGAUUUGAAUAAUAGAAAGGAUUCACAGAAAAGACCAAUCACUGAAGGGGAGGACAAAUAAUUUUAUAGGCAUAUACAGACAACAGAAUAUUUAAUUAUCAAGUAUUUGGAAAAAAAAUCCAUCUCAGAUUUAUAUUUAGCCGUAUUUAAUUUGGUUGUAAUGAUAGGGAAUAUGUUCUAGAUGAAGCAUAUGUUUUUGCAGGCAUGAACAUUGAAAAUUUGUCCGCAAUGAUAGGGAAUGUUGUAUCCUAUCAUUUAGUGAUGAAGAGUUGCCUUUUGAAGGCAUAAUGUACAACAAGACCUUAAAUAUUACUGCUAAUUGUCAUGACUAUGUGAUUAAUCAUGUAUUGAUAAAUGAUGGAUCUACUCUGAAAAUUUGUCCUCUUUUCAUAUUGACUAAACUAGGCUAUAACUUGGAAAAGUUUCACCAAAGCCAUGUUAAUGUGCGAGCUUUUGAAGAAGGGCAAAGAGAUAUUAUAAGUGAAUCUGACCUAUACAUCCAAAUCAAACCUGCUGAAUUCAAGAGGAGAUUUUAUGUUAUGGAUAUCAAUCCUAAUUACAACCUACUUCUCAAAAGUCGUGCAUUCACGGUGCAAAAGUAGUUUUGUCACCUCUUCAUCAAUUGUUAAAGAUAAUUUGGAAAUACUACGAGGUGGUCAUACAAAGAGAAAAAAGCCAUUUGAGUCACCCUAAUGGUUUUGUACUUGUCAUUGAAGAUAUUCCAAGUGGUAGAAAUUUUUAUACGGUAAAACUUAUGAAUUCCACAGAGAAGGAUCCAACUCCCUAAAUUCUAAUGCCCUCUAUCUAUACAAUAUUACAACUAUGAUGUUAAGAAGUGGGUUCGAGCCUAGACAAGGCUUGGUAAAGAAUUUGGAAGGAAUUGUUGAGUCAAUUAUGGUCCUAGAAAAAACAUUUAUGUAUGGGUUAGGGUACAACCCAAUAACGGAAGAUGAAAAUGUAGAAACAACAAAAAAGGGGUCUACCCAAACCAUUGCCACUCCUGUACCAGUCGUUUCCUAUGUAUCGGUGCCAAUAGAUGAUGGUUUGGGGGAUGGGAUAGGAAAUAUAUUCCAAGGAUACAAUGAAAUACUAGAAUAUUACCCAAAAGUUGGUUGGGUCGCACCCAGAGAGACUUUGCGAAAUUGGACCUCCACUUCCAUCAUGACUCGUCGACCACUAUGGUAGAUGAAAGGGAAAUUACUAGUAGUUUUAAAAAUUGAUAAUGAUCCAAAGGAGGCCCCGUGAUCCACCCUUUUAUGUCUCAAAUUUCCUUUUUGCAUUUUACUAUUUUUAAAAAGGCAUGGGCCCAUAAUUGUACAAGUCAUGAGCCAUAGUUAGAAAAUAUUUCUCAAAUUGCAAUAAAAGGCCUCUCUUUAUCUAGGAAGUCAUUUUGAAGUAUGAUUAUACUUAUUUUACUACUUUGAGUUAUCUUUUUAUUAUCUAACUUGGUUUUUUUGUCUAUUUCAGUAAUAAUAAUUUAAAAUCUGUCAAUGUCAUAUCAAGAGUUAAUGAACCAGGCGAGGUGAAUAAUGAUGAAUGAGAAGACUAUGAUGAUGUGCAGUUAACAGAGUAUAUGGAAGAAUUUGAAAAUUAAGAGAAACCCAACCUGGAGAAAACUGAAGUAGUAAACCAAAAAGAUCAUGAUGAAGUCAAAUAGACUAGAGUUAGUGUUCACUUGACAGAGGCAAAGAAAAGAGAACACAUCCACUUGAUAUGGGAAUACAUCAUUAAUUUGCUUGGUAAUACGAUGAUAUACCUGGGUUAAACACUAACAUUGUAUAACAUUAGUUACCAAUCAAUCCCAAAUUUGAUCCAGUAAAACAAAAAAAUGCAUAAAUUCAAGCAAGACUUAAGUUUGAAGAUCAAGGAAGAGGUAACAAGGAAAAUUCAAUCUAGAGUUGUGGAGGUCAAAAAAUACCCAACAUGGCUAUCCAUUAUUGUUUUGGUACAAAAAAUAAAUGCAAGAUCAGAAUAUGUGUCGACUACAGAUAUUUGAAUAGAGCUAGUCCUAAGGAUAAUUUCUCGCUACCCAACAUCCACAUCCUCAUUGAUAACUAUAUGAAUAAUGAAAUGCAUCUUUCGUGGAUUAUUUUAUCGGGUAUCAUCAGAUAUUAAUAGAUAAGGAAGAUGCAGAAAAGGUGACUUUAAUUACACCUUGGGGUUUUUAUCAUUAUAGGGUAAUGUCGUUUGGCUACAAGAGUGUUGGUGCAACAUACAUGAAGGAUAUGACAAUAGUUUUUCAUGAUAUGAUUCAUUAAAAAAUUGGGUUCUGCGUGGAUGGCGCAAUCAUCAAAUGUCUCAAGAGUUCAGAUCAUUUGACAUACCUAAAAAAGUUCUUCAACUAACUGAGAAAGUAUAACUUGAAGUUAAACCUUGCUAAGUAUACUUUGGGUAUGCCAACCGAAAAAUUACUAGGCUUCAUAGUCAGUAGAAAGGGCAUCGAGCUCAAACCAUCUAAGAUCAAUACAAUUCAGGAUAUACCACUACCAAGGACUAAGAAAUAAGUUAUGAGUUUCUUGGGUAGUUUGAAUUACAUUAGUAGGUUUAUUGCCCAAUCGACAGUCAUAUGCGAGCCAAUUCUCAAGAUGUUGAAGAAAGAUGUAUUGAGUGAGUGGACAAAAGAAUAUCAGAAGGCUUUUGAUAGAAUCAAGAUUAUUUAUUUGCCCCGCCAGUUCUGGUUCCACCAAAGGAAGGAAGUCCAUUGUUGCUUUACCUAUAUAUCUAUGAAAAUGCUUUUGAAUGUAUCCUUGGGCGAGACCGAUAAGAAAGAUAAAUCAAUCUACUACUUAACUAAAUAGUUCACACCAUACGAGGCUAGCUACACUCUUGUAGAAAGGACGUGUUGUAUUUUGACCUAGGUCACACAAAAGUUGAGGGAUUAUCUAUCCUCAUAUAUAGCAUAUAUUAUUUCCAGAAUUGAUCCCUUGAAUUAUAUAUUUUAGAAAGCCAUGCCCAUGGGAAAGUUAGCCAAAUGGCAAAUGUUACUGAGUGUGUUCGACAUUAUGUAUAUGACUCAAAAAGCAAUCAAGAUUUAAGCUUUAGCAGAUCAAUUAGUAGAGAAUUCGGUUGAUAAUAAAUAUGAACCACUUCAAUAUUACUUCUCGGAUAAAGAGGUUUUAUUUAUAUGAGAAGACAUUACAAGAACAUACCCUGGAUGGAGAAUGUUUUUUGAUGGAGUGGUAAACUUCAAGGGCUCUGGAAUUGGAGUAUUUUUGGUGUCAGAAAUAGGCCAACAUUAUCCAAAAAAAUUGCUAAAUUAUGCUCCCCAUGCACCAAUAACAUGGCUCAAUAUAACGCUUGCAUCCUAGGCCUCAAGUUAGCACUCAACAUGGAUGUUCAAUAAUUGCUAGUCAUUGGAGACUCAAAUUUACUAAUUCACCAAGUAUGGGGAGAAUGGGAAGCUAACAACUCCAAGAUUACCCCUUAUGUAGCACUGGUACAGGAUUUGUGUGGAAGAUUCAAGGAAGUUGACUUCAGACAUAUACAAAGGGUAAAAAAUAAGUUUGCAAAUUCUUUGGCUACUAUAUCCUCCAUAAUUCAACACCUAGAUCAGAGUUACUUCGAUCCUUUAGUAAUAAGAUUGAAAGAACAACUCGCACAUUGUGCUCAUGUCAAAGAGGAAGCUGAUGGAAAGCCAUGGUACUUGAUAUUAAAAGGUAUUUAAAAUCUGGAACAUAUCCUGAGGAGGCCAACAAAAAAUAAAAAAACAAAAUUUGGUGUUUGGCAAGGAAUUAUUUUCCAAGCAGGGAAAUUCUUGUAAGGAGGAUCCCAGACUUUGGAUUUCUAAGAUGUGUCGAUACUGCAGAAUCUAUAAAAUUAAUAGAAGAAGUACAUGCUAGAGCAUGCGGGCCCCAUAUAAAUGGAUUUUCACUUUCUAAAAAAACUCUGAGAACUAGUUACUUUUGGAUGACUAUGGAAAAUUAUUGUAGCAAAUAUGUGCAGAAGUGUUCAAAGUGCCAGAUACAUAGAGAUUUGCUUUGGAUACCCCCACAUGAGCUUUAUGCAAUGAGUUCACCUUAGCCUUUCGUAGCUAGGGUAUGGACGUUAUCGGACAAAUAGAUCCACCAGCAUUAAAUGGACAUAGAUAUAUUUUGGUUGUUAUUUACUACUUUACCAAAUGGGUAGAAGCUGCAUCAUAUAGAGUCGUGAAUAAGAAGGUAGUUGCAGAUUUUGUCAAGAACAACCUGAUUUACUAAUUUAGAGUGCCAGAAUCAAUCAUUACUGAUAAUGAAGCUAACUUAAACAAUCACUUGAUGAAUGAGAUUUGUGAAUCGCUUAAUAUUGUUUAUCACAAUUCAACCUCAUAUUGCCCACAAAUGAAUGGAAUGUGGAAGCAGCUAAUAAAAACAUCAAGAAUAUUUUGAGAAAAAUAUUUGAUAAUGAUAGGUCAUGGCAUAAGAUGCUGCCAUAUACUCUGCUAUGGUAUGCAUAAUAGUUUGAACCUCAACUGGACCACUCCUUAUCUAAUGGUUUACGAAAAUGAAGUUGUGAUACCUGUCAAGGUUGAAAUACCUUCCAUAAGGAUUAUUCAAGAAUCCAAAUUAAGCAAUGAAGAAUGGGUUCGUGCUCACUAUGAACAACUCAUGUUGAUUGAUGAAAAGAGAAUGGUUGUCGUGUGUCAUGGACAAUUAUACCAACACAGAAUUAUCCAUGCCUUCAACAAGAAAAUAAGAGUUCAAACAUUUAAAUAUGGGCAAUUGGUUCUCAAACACAUAUUCCCUCACCAAGAAAAGUACAAAGGCAAGUUCACUCCAAAUUGGCAAGGGUCAUAUAUAGUUCGAAAAGUACUAACCGGAGAAGCUCGAUCCUAUAUGAGAUGGAUGGUCAAGAGUGGAUCAAACAAAUCAAUUCUGAUGUGAUAAAGAGAUACUAUGUUUGAAGGAUGUUUUUUAUUUUUUUGUUUACCUUAUUUGUUUUUAAUCGCACAUUCACGAAGGUAUACUUUUAUGAUUUGGAGUCUCCUAGAAUUUACCCUUUUUCUUUUAUGGACGAACUACAUUUGACCUGAAUUUCCAAGAAAGGGACAAGUAGGUGGCAUAUGUCGACUUUGGUCAAUCCCUUUGGAGAAUUUACCCUUCCCUUUUAUGUAUGAAUUACAUGAUGACCUAAAUUCUCAAGAAUGAGAUACAUAGGAAGCCUAUGCCAUCUUCGAUCAACCCAUCAGAUUUUUCUAUAUAUCCCUAGUGUAAUCCUAAACUAUAUUUGACCUAAUUCUUGCUACAAUAGGAUACGUAGGUGACCCAAUAGCUCGAUCAUAUUACCCUAGAAAAUGGAAACUGGGGCUAAAUUUUUGAAAAGGGACCUCAAAAAUUCAAAAGAAGAAAAUCAUCAUCCAGCAAAAAGAAUGAAGAUCAGAAAAUCAUCAUCCAGCAAAAAGAAUGAAGAUCAGCAAAGAUUUUAGAUCCUAUCAAGACAAGAUAAUCUCAAAUAGUAGUAAACUAGGUCUAACAUUUUGAGGGAAUCCAAAAAGUUUCCCUAAUAUGCUAGAAUAUAUUUUUCCCCAGCACCAAGAGGUCGAAGCCUAAUUUCAAAAAUCACCAAUUAUGAUAGGGUCUAGAUAGACUAAAUCGCCAGCUAUGAUGGAAUUUUUGGUAGAACUCCCCAGCAACGACAAUGAGUUUUUAGAUAUCAUUCAUUGAAUGUCAGACACAGACGAGCCUCAAGAGGAAGACAUUCAUUGAGUUAGUACAUGUCAUGACUGGCAGAUAUUUUCUAAAAGCUUUUACAUAAGUUUUUGAAACUAAUUUUUCAAAAUUAAGACUAUUUUUUGAAAAUCGAUACACAGCAUUUUCUACUUAAAUAGUUUUGCCUAAACAUCUAACGAAAUGGGGGAGUCAGAGAGGAAGUCCAAACAUGAUGAAGCACCCGAAAGAUGCAAAAGAGCAAACAAAGAUCGAAGGAGGUCAACACAGAGUAGUGUCACUCAAAACUAAUAAUUUUUCUGUGGAUGUAGGGAUCUAUGCCAAAAAUGAGGACCUUCUUAAAAAUAAAUCCCAAGCGAAUUGGGAACUACACCAAAGCAUAUAAUGCUUAAGAACGGUAUUUUGAGUAUCCCAAAUGUGGGUUCAAUACCCACUUAUCAAGGACCUUUUGAAUUGUCUAUCUUAUUUCAUGAGACCAUGGAUGACAAACAAAGGCAUCUAAUCCUCUUUAUGAAUAUUUUAUUUAAAACUUUUCUAAAAAAAUAGUCGCUAGAAAAAGUGACGCUGUGUCUACUAAAUAUUUACCUUAAGCGCAAGUGCGUUUAAAGGAAUCGGCCCUAUAAGGACACAAUCAAAGGAUCUCUUAAUAGAAGGAAAAGCCUAAAAGUCAUCCUCAAAUUUUCUAUGAGGCAAAGGAAACAGUAUUUAAGUGAUGCCUAUAAAGGGUUUUACCCAUUUAUUUUCAUCUGGUAGAUCUACAAUUUAAAUAUUUCUUUUAAAAGAGAAGAUGAAUAGCAUACUAAGUUAUUUAUAUUAUGACAUCCAGUAUUUGUCACUUAAACUUUCAUAUAGCUUGAUUGUGGACACCAGUGAGAGCGACAUUAUGUAUACUAACUAUCUACCUUAAGUACAGGUACAUGUAGUAAGUAAUAACACAACUAACAAACUUAGGUGAAGCUCCUCUUCAAAAAAUUUAGAAGGCCAUUUCAUAUUAUUUCAUUAUCGAGAAGGCUAUUUUAUUCCAUUGUUGAAAGAUCCAUUCUAUUUUAUUCCAUUGUCAAGAGGACCAUUUCAUUGUCGAGGGAGAUAUUUCAGUUUAUUUAUUGUCGAGAAGGCAAUUUUACUUCAUUUCCAAGAGGUCCAUCAUGCCAUUCAGAUAAGUCUCCUUAAUUGCUCGUCAUGCAAGACGAUAAGGUCUGUCCUUGGAAGAUGUUUUGGAGAACCAAUGUCCAUUGACCAUGCGAAGAUAGCAUCAUCUAGGUUCGAGGAUAUCUCAAAAUUUUAUAUCUGUUAACCACGCCAAAGGCGAUGUAGCCCUGCAUCGAGGAUAUUUUAGCAUUUUAUGGCUUAGCAUGCAUCAACAUAUCAAGUUAAAAAGGCACAUGAUCCAGAGAGGCAUCUUUAAGUCGCUAUUUGAAAGCAGAUGACAUACAAUAUUCCUAAAAAUUUUCUAUCCGAGGGCCAUUUAUAAGUCACAUUGUUUGAGAUAUGAUAGUGUGCGAGAUUAUCUAUGAUUUAAUAGUUCAUAGGCCAUUCGUAAGUUGCAACAACAUCCUAAUCGAAUAGUGUGCAAGGUUAUCCAAAAAUCGAUAAUUCGGAGGUUAUCCAUAAGUCACAAAUAAAUCCUUAUAGGAUAAUAUGCGAGAUUACCAAAUUGAUAUGUCUAAGGGUUCUCUAUAAGACGUGUCAUAUCCAAGAUAAAUUAUGCUCAGGAUUACUCAAAAACUAGAAAUUUGAGAGAUAUCUAUAAGUCAUACUGUAUCCAAGGUCAGAUGAUGUGUAGGAAUACCUAAGAGCUAGCGAUUUGAGGGAUAUUUGUAAGUCAUCUCUUUUCUAAGGUAGGAUAGUGAGUAGGAUUACCUAAAAGCUAGGAACUCAAAGGAUAUUUAUAAGUUGCCUCUAUCCAAUGUCAAAUGAUAUGCAAUAUUAUCCAAAGAUUGAUAAUUCAAGCAAUAUCUAUAAGAUGUAUCGAUCCAAAAGAUAGGCAAGACUUACCCGAGGUCAUCUUAGAAGGAUUAUUGUCGAUAGCUGAAGAUGUUGUCCUUUCACAUACAAAAAUCAUGAUGGGUGAUCAAAAGGUCCUCCGCAUCAACAUAAGAUUAAACAGUUGCAGGGACCGCCUUACACAAAACGUGCUCGGUGUCCAAGAGGUCCACCACACUUCUAAGAAAUAUUCAAUCAAUGAAAGAGAUAUUUUAUUUAACAACAAGAGGGUUUUUGUAUUUUUUAUUACAAUUUAUUGCCCUCCAAUUAGGUACAUGAGAGAACAACUUCACUUUUCAGAUAACAACUCAUGCGAAGAUAUGUAAAAGACUAAAUACCUCAUUUGUGAAUUGUAUUUAUUACUAACAAUUUUUGUUUUAGGUAUUUUUGAGAGCAUCCGAGAGGAUGAAAAUAUCAAAUCAAAACCAUAGGUGUGGACGACCUCAAAAAGGAUGCAACACAAAUUGAAAAUUUUUCUUAGCGGCAAACCGAGACAUAUUUUGGAGAUGGACGUCAAACUCUUUGGACGCGAGAUAAAGGAUGAUUGUCACCACCAUCAAACCAAACCCCUAUUAGAAGGCAUAUGGGUAUUUUGGGAUAUUCUAGAUUCAUUUUUACUUUUCGGAUAUUCCUAAACUCAUACUGGAGGUAACCUCCUCUUUCUUUCUAAUUCAGGUGACAACAUACUCAAAGUUUUUGAAAUUAUAUCAUCGUAAGUUCUUUCCUAUGGAUUUGAGGAGCUCUAAAUUCAUUUUUAAGAGGUUACAAACCUCUUUUUCAUAGCUAAAAUAACUUGUCACUUAUCGCGAUCCAAAGAUCGUCUAAAAUAAUAAGUUAUCUCUUUUACCAACUGAAUUGAACUACAAGCAGUCUGAUUCUCAAGGUAUCGAGGAUAUGUAGGCUGGGAUCUAUAUUGUAAAAUGAAUUUCAUUCCAACCUUCCCCCAAUCCAUUUGGUCCCCAACUUUGCAGUUUCUGUAAAAUUCGAAAAGUGGGACAGCUUGUGAAUUUCCAGACGAUCGUGGUAAAAAAUAAGGCUUUAUGAACUACAAGUGACCUGAAUUCUCAUGUAAUUUGAGAUAUAUAGGAAAUUCGAUAGUGGGUUCAGGCCAUAAGUGCAUUAAACUUGUGCAAAAAGCAACCUCUUCUAGAAACGAAUUUGCAAUUGGACAAAAAUUAGGAAUGUCAAACUCCCUUUACCCAAUGUUACUUGCAUCCACCCUACACAAAGGAAGGGGACAGUUGUUGACACCUAAUUUUUUUCCUUCAUGACUAAGUUUAAUUUUAAGCUUUGUUCAAUUUUAAAUAAUAUUAUAAUGCUUAUUUUAUCCAAAUAAAAGCUUUCCAAAGUAUUUAUCUAGGUAAUUUUGCCAUUUUAAGUAAUGAAUAUAUAUUUGUAUUCGUAUAUACGAAAUCAUCUAAUUUGGUUACUUAAAUAAUUAUUUUAUGGAAAAUCAGAUUUUAAUCAAAGGUUAUCUUGAAAAUUAAUUUAAAUGACUAAAAUCCUAAUUUAAAUGUAAUUUGUUAUCAUAAAUAAUUUAUUUGGAAAAACCUUUGUUUCAUUUUCUUAAAUCAAAAAACUCAAAUUUAAAUUCAUUCAAUCCAAUUGAUUCAUUGAAUUUGGCCCUAAUUGAAAUCAAUUGAGCCACAAUUGUAGUACAAUUGACGAAUUAAUUUCCUUUUGGCCAAAAUCUAAAUGAGAUUGGUUAAAUUCCGAUCUAAUUUGGCUAUUUAAUAAAUGGCUUAAUAUACCCAUCUUUUUUUUUAUUAAAUUCAAAGACCCCAGGCCAUUUGCUUUAGCCAAUCCUUUAACUAAACCUAUCCAGUAGCCCAUUCUACAGGACCAAUACCAGUAAUCGACUCAGUUGACACUCCUUUUUUCCUUUAUAAUCAGACAACAUCGACAACAAAGUAACAACAUUAGCAUCGAAUAAACAACAUCUUCAGUGAACACGUAUAACUACAAUAAUUCACCAGCAACGACAAAACCUAAUAGACCCAAAAUCAUCCUAACUUUGACCUGUCCAGUAGCUUCAAUGAAGCUUCUAAAAAUCCGACGUGAACCGACCCAACAAUGAUCGAUUACAACUCAUAUAAACGACACCUCAUUCAUUAUACUUUCUUAUUUGAAUUUGUACUAUAUUAGUACAACACAUGGUUCCAAUAACCUCAAUCCCCAAGAAUUUUAUAUGAAUUUAAAAAAUCAAAUCAAUUCACCCCAAAACCCUAUGGAAUCUGUGGAAUAUUUUGAGAAUUUCCACUUGCCCCCUUCCCGUUCUUCAACGGUAUGAACAAGGACAAGAACCCCAUCUCUCACCAGCCAUUUAUUGAGAUUAAUUCAUAGCCAUGGGAUUUGGUUUUUUACCCAAAAUCCUACAUCGGUUGGAGCCCAAAAUUAAAGCCCGGUCAUUUUCUAUAAAAACUCAUUGUAAAGCUGAAAUUCCAAGUCUCAAGAAGGUUGAAAAAAGCCUUUUAAGCAUAAAGACUUGAAAAUUAUUUUUGACCAAGAGAAUUUUCAUUAGAAAUCCACUUAAUUAAAGUUUAAUUGGGUCGAUUUCGAGUUCUACGUGGUGGUCAAGUUCCUACGAUAGCCCGUAGUUCCAUUUUGAUGCCCAAAAAAUGGUAAACACACCAUUCCCUAUUAGUUCAUUUGCUAUUAUUCUUAUUCUUUAUCUCCUUCUUUGUAGUUUUAUAGUUGUAAUUAUAGUAAUGGUGGGAUUGUUUGUUGUAGAUGGCAUUAUAAUAUUUGCUUAUAAUGGUUGUUGCUAUGUUGUUUGUUGCAUCACUAUUUAUACUAUAACUUUUUUCCCAUUGUUAAUUUCGUAGGUUUCGGUUAGAUUGUUUUGAGUUUACUGUCUUAUGUUAAUGUCAUUGGCUGGAUAUUAAUGUUUUAGCAUCUAUUGUGGAUACUCUAUUUAGGAUAUUCUGUUUAGGUCGCGUUUUAAAUUCAACACUUUCUAUCGUGAGAUUUAGACCACUAUUUCAGUGUUAACUUUGUUUGGUGAAAAUCCAAUGUAUAGUUUUCUUUUGAUAUAUUGUUUAUUAGUUCGACUGUAAAACCAAUGCUCUAGUCAUAUAAUUAGUGUUUAUUUUUACCUUCAAAGUCACUGCAACAUCAAUUUUGUUAGUCAUCAGCAUAUUAUUUUUAUACUUGAACAUUAUGGUCUGGUUUUCUAUUUAUUUAGCUGAAUAUUUGUUGUCUUAAUUUCUAUAUGUUGCCUUAGUUCAAUAUUGCUAGUGAUUCGCCUUUUCUUUGCUUUGUAUCGUCUUUAUCUUUGAAUUUCAUGAUCAAAUAAAGACAUUCAUAAAGUUCCUAUUGACAAAAAAUAUCAAGAAAGGAUGAACGAUUUGUUAUAUAGGUCCUUUGUUUUGUUAAGAAUAAUACUUGAUGUGUUAACAUUUUUUGGAGUCAUAAUGCUAGUUUUGAUGUUCUGGUGUUAACUUGUUGAUGUUCAUGUUUUUUAGUUAUCAUAAAAAAUCCAUCUUUAUAUCCUUUGUUCUCAAAUUUCCGUCUUCAAAUAUUGUUGUAUGAAAAUGGAUUAAUUUUUUUUAUAUUCCCUUGUUAUUAAAAAUGCUUCUUUUGAUUUAUCACUCCCCUAUUUUCACCUAAGAGUUCUUGAUUUCAUUAUUUUGAAAUAAAAUUCUCGAUAGGGUUAAAAUUUGUCUCAUUAUUUUCAUCCUAACUUUUCAAGUCUCGUUUGUUUUUAUCAUCCCAUUUUAGCCAGGCUUGUUGUAACUCUAAUCCCAUGUUCUAGUUUGAUGUUGCUAGUUGUAAUUUAGGAUAUCAGUUUAUAAGAAGUUGUGUCAAUUUAAAUACAGUAUUUCGUAGUUAUUUUACUCAUCGUCUGAUUAUGUAAUCUGCUUGUUUAAACCAUUUUUUUCUUUCUUUCCUUUCCCAAUUCUUCUUUGAUUUUUGAAAAGCUAAACCUUGUUGAAUCUUAAUCACGUCUAAUAACCCUUAUAAUAUGGGAUUUUCAUGGUGCAAGUUUACUCGGUUUUGGUUUGAUCGUGUUCUUAUUUGUCACUUGUACCUCUCUUUGCCUAUUCAUUAAAUUUUCCUUAAAUUGUUCAGUUCAUAUCCUUAUUUUACCAAAGUUUUUUGUAGCCUUAAAAUAUAAUCAUUCAACUUUGGCUGCUCGAAAUCAUGAGAACUUCCUAUUUUAUCUUAUCCUUUUUAUUAAUUUGGAUUUCUUUGAUUGGUAUAUGCGUUCUCUUCAAUUUCAUGAAUUAUUGUCUCUUCUACAUUUAUGUGUUAGCCGCUAAUUUAGAACAUAUAUUAAUUCCUUUUAUCUUUUUCUUCGCAUGAAUCUGCUUUGGAGUCCAAAUAAACUCCUUCUCCUUUGUAUUUUGUAAUGGGCCUAUAAGGCCCCUUUUCGAGUCAAUUCCAAAAGGUCAAAAAGGAUGGGGUACAUGGCGUACAGGUGCAAGGAGGUGGAAGAAGAAAUGGGUCACAUCACAUUGAUGAAGUUACUAAGAGACUUGAAAGUCUCAAUUUUUUUUAUUAUUUUGUAUUUUAUCUAUUUUUGUUUAUUUAUUCACCCAUUUGGGACCUAAAGCAAUGUUAUAACUUAAUAUAGGUGAAGCAAACUUUAGGCCUUAAAGGAUCGAAAUUAAUUUAGGACAGGUUGUGGGCCAAAAACCUAAAUAAUUAGAUUAAGAUAGAUUGUGCGUUGAAAGCCCAUUUAGAUUAGGACAGAUUCAUUUAAGAGAUUUGGGCUUAAUGACCUAAGUCUUUUAGUUUCCCCCCUUUCCCUUUGCAUGCUAUUUGUUAAUAAUUUUCUUUAAUUUAGUUAUAAUUCCCGCUAAGUCGUCAAAACUUAUUUUGCACAAACCAUAAAACAAUUUUUUCCUUAAUUAGUUCAUUUUCUAAGUAAUACAAAAUCCUUUUUCAGAAUUAGUCAAAAAUGUUAUUUUUAAAUAGCUCAAAUAACCGCAAGUUAGUAGCCUACUCUUGGUGCCUUAAAAACCUUCCAUGGAUAUUAAUAAGAACCACUUAUUCAGAAUUUCUAAACUUAAAAUAUUUUUUUAUUUUGAUCCAUUUAAGUAAUUUUUAUAGGUUUUCUUGAUUUUCCAAAAUAAAUUAAGUGGUGACUGUGUUUUCAAAAAUCGAGUUUGAAAACUUUUUUCAAAGUAUUUGAAUUCGUAAAAUCACAGUAAUCAUCUUUUCUCCACAAAACACCACCAGUAAAGUUUCCUCAAGUCCCUAUACAUAUUAGUUAUCCUAGGGUGAAUAGUAUGUCUGGAGCUAUGAGCCUCGCGAAGAAUCAACUAACUAAAAUCUCCAACAUUUGGAGCACAAAUACAACCAUCAAACUUCUAAACACCCUCAAAAUCUAAGAUAGCCCUCCUGGACUCACCUCUCAACACUUUCCCUCAAAUGCUACGAAGUAUUCUAUCCUCAAACUAACGACUCUAAAUCAGCUCCAACAAGGAGAAUUUUGCCUCAACACUUGCAAUGAUCCUCUGAGGUCCAAAAAUAUCCAAACAAACCAUCAAGUUCGCUAAGGACUGGAUGUCCAAAGUCAACAACUACUGAGAAACUAAAAUGAAGGCUAAGCUACCCAUACUCACUAACGUUUGGCUUAAGGUGUCCGCUACCACUUUUGUCUUGCCCGAAUAGUAGAGAAUAGAGAUAUCAUAGUCCUUCAGCAACUCAAUCCAUCUACGUUGCUCGAAUUAAGUUAUUUUUAUGUCAUAAUAUACUGAAGACUGUGGUGAUCAGAAAAGAUCUCAUAACGAACCCCAUACAAAUAAUACCUCCAAAUCCUAUGCGUAAAUACUACUCUUGCAAACUCUAAGUCAUGAGUGGGAUAGUUGUACUCAUUCACCUUCAGGUACCUCAAUGUAAAUAUAAUAACACAGUCCACUACAUUGGAACACACCCCAGACCAACACUACAUGCAUCACAGUAGAUAGUAAAACCCUUUCCUUCAACUGGAAGAGUCAGAACAGGAGCUAAAGUUAGUAAAUCCUUGAUCUUUAGAAAGCUCAUCUCAUAACUCGCAGACCACUGAAAUGGAACCUCCUUCCUAGUCAAUCUAGUUAUAGGGGCUACAAUAGAAGAAAAACCCUCAAUGAACUACCUAUAGUAACCUGUCAACCCAAUAAAAUUGAGAACCUCAGUAGGUGACGUAGGCCUGGCCCAACUAUGAAUAGCCUUAAUCUUUGCAGAGUCCACCAUGAUAUCGUACUUGGACACUACGUGCCCCAAGAAAUCUACAGACUCAAGCUAGAUCUCAAAAUUUGAGAACUUGGCAUAAAGCUGAUGAUCUCUCAAAAUGUGGAGCAUAAUCCUUAAAUAUUGCUCGUGCUCCUUCUUACUCCUUAAAUAUACCAGAAUGAUAUCAAUAAAUACUAUCAUGAAGAAGUCCAAAUACGGCCUGAACACGUGGUUCAUCAGAUCCAUAAAAGUUGUUGGGGUAUUGGUCAGCCCAAAAGACAUCACUAGAAACUCAUAAUAACAGUAAUGAGUCUUGAAGGCUACCAUAGGGAUGUCUGUAGCCCUAACUCUCAACUGAUGGUAACAAGACCUCAAAUCUAUCUUGGAAAACACUAUUUUACCCUGAAGCUAGUCAAACAAAUCAUCAAUACGAGGCAUAGGAUAUAUAUUCUUCACAGUCACCUUAUUCAACUGUCUGUAGUCGACACACAUAUGCAUAGAGCCAUUUUUCUUCUUCACAAAUAGAACUGGAAUACCCUAUACACUUGAUCUGCUAAAACCCUUACCCAGAAAAUCUUGCAGCUAAUUAUUCAGCUCCUUUAGCUCAACAGGAUCCAUAUAAUAUAGAUCCAUAAAAAUAGGUUGGGUGUCUGGCUCGAGGUUAAUAAUAAACUCUAUAUCAAGCUCAAGAGAAAGGCUAGGUAGGUUUGUCAAAAACAUAUCAAGAAACUUGUGAAUAAUAGGAAUGGAGUCAAUCGAUGGACUAUGAAAACUAACAUGCCGAACAUAUGCAAUAAAUGACUCACAACCCCUUAAUAUCAGUCUCUUAGACCGAAUGUAAGAAAUAAUCCUUAUCAGUGCACGACUAAUAGAACCCUGCCACAUAACCGGAGGUGUGCUAGGCAAGGCUAAGGUAAUGAUCUUAGAAAAACAAUCCAUAAUCGCAUGGUAAAGAGAUAACCAAUACAUGCCUAGAAUCACAUCAAAAUCUACCAUAUCUAAGAUAGUAAGAUCAAUUAGAGCAUCAAACAUCGAAUAGUCACCAAACAAGAUCUAUAUACCUGAUCCGCUACUAAAGAAUCAGCAAUAGGGGUAGCUACACACAAUGGCACAGAUAAGGAAUACAAAAACCCAAUCGCGAUGCAAAAUAAGUAGAAACAUAUAAAAAUAUGGAAACGAGAUCAAACAAAGAAAAAGUUGGAUGAUGAUAUACAAAAAUCAUACCUGUGAUCACAACACCCGAAGCUUCAUCCUCUGGUCUACCUGGUAUAGCAUACAAAUGACCCUAUCCACUAUUAGACAGGGUGUCUAUUUGACCACCUAUCCUACCUUCCUACAGACCACCUCUAUAACCUUGGGGACCACCCCUACGACCUUGUGCACUACUCCUGGAUAGCGACUGUACUGAUCUAAGCGACUGUUUUGUCUAAACUAAGGCUCAAUCACCCCACGUUGGGGAUACUCACUACGAAAAUGCCUAACAAACCCACAUUCAUAACAUGCCUCAAGCAUCCUGUUCUAUCUAGAAGGUUCGAGGGAUCCAUAAUGACCACCCCUACUCGACGAUCUUGAUUGAACAUCCCUCUGCGGAUGACUACUUCUCUAGAAACUAGAACUAUAAUAACCAAGAUGAACCCUGUCUGAUAUUUGAAGCAAUAUCUGAACUAGAUGACUAGGCUGACCCUGAUACUGAUAAGGCUAUUGUGUACCUACUAUGAAACCCUCAACCUGUGACUUGUGAACCAUUGUGGCUUCCCCUUGGGCCUCACAAUCCAUCUCUUUUAUAUAAUAAAUGUGCUCAGAAAUAUUAGAAGAAGACUUUUCUAAAGUCACCAAACUCUAUAUCCCUACGAAGUAAUAAUCUCAAUCCCCUAAUAAAGCAUCAAAUCCGCUCAUACUCCAUAGGCAGAAUCAUACUGGCGUACCUAGCCAACUCGUCAAAUCUCACCUUAUUCUAAUACACAUACACAGAACCUUGUAUCAAAGCAGAAAACUUAUCUCGAAGAUACUCGUGCAUGUUGUGAGGCAUAUACUUCCCCAAGAAAACCUUAGUGAACUAAGUACAAGUCAUCGGUGGAAAUAUAGCUGGUAUAGAAUCAAGAUAAACUCUCCACUAUUUUUUGUUGUCGUGUAUAACUAAUAAGCAACAAAGUCCACUCCUCGUGACUCGACCAACCCCAAAUUUUAUAACCUCUCCUUGCAAUCGGUUGGGAACUCAUAAGCAUCUUCACUGGAGUCCUAGCAAACCUGGGUGGAGUCAAUCUCAAAAAGUAGUAAAGCAUCUUCUGCUCUUCUGAAUAUAUAACUAGUUGGGCUACUAUCGAUUAUGGACUACUGGUAUUGGCAGAACCUUCGCCCUUGUCAUUGCUACUGUAGGUUAUGCCCCUAAAUUAAUACCGUCCUUUGUCGUUGCUGAUCUUCCUCGGUUGGUGGACCGCCAACUAACCCCAAUAAAUUUACCAAUACAUCUCGAAGAAUUGCUGAAGAUAUAAACCAGGUGGAGCCUGGGUUACCCCAUGCCCUACCUGUUGCUGUACUAGUGGAAUACUUGGAGCUCUCACAGUAUCAGGAGCAAUGAUAAGAUCAAGUGAUGGAUCCCUGGCCUAAUCUCAAACGGGGGUUACUACUCUAUCCCAGCCCCGACCUCUAGGUAGACCUCAGCCUAUAACCAGAACUUUAACAACGAGCUCUGGGUCCUGAUCCCCAAGUCCUGUACCCCGCAUCCUAGCCAUCUACGUUAAGAGUCAACCAUUAAAGAUUAAAAACCAACUCAAACCCAACGCACAAAAAGGGAUCAAGAAAUAAAUCAAAGUUAAUCCAUUAUGUAUAUGCUCGGGUAUUGUAUAAGUUCGUGAUAAAAUAAACAUCAUAUCUUGAAUAUACCAUAAUUAAUAGAAAAUUAUUUCUAAUAAAAAAUGCUAUUAUAUAAUAAUAAUAUUUUAACAUAUCUAGAUUCAUCAUCUCUGCUUAAAAUAUUAACAAGUUAUAAAACUAUUUAUAAAGUAAUAUAAACAUAUUAUAACUAAAGAAUCUUAUAAAGAUUAAAAACAUUUUAGAAGGGUAAUAAAUUAUAUUUCUACUAAAUGCUAAUUUAGAGCACAUAUUCCACAAUAUAUUUGGUAUCACUAAAACUCUCAAAUGAACCGAUUGAAAGUCGAACUACCAAUCCAGCAAAUCAUAAAAAUGUGGGAUGGUUAUAGAAAAUCUGUAGACACCGAGAAUGUAUUAAAAAAAAAAGAAAAAUGACCAUGAGGGUCAUUAAAAAAUUCUCUGAAAUAAAAUUAUCGAUGGAUAAUUAUCAUCUAAAGUAGGCAUUGCACUUCCUACAUCUAAUUCCUUCAUUGAAGUUUGCUCAUCUAAUUGACUUAUAUUAAGACCAAAUGAUGGUGCUGAUUUCACUAAGUGACUAAAAUAUGUUUAGGAACAUUAAAUUUUAGAUGUAUUGGACUUGAAGAAAAUUGAAAAAAAAAACUAACCUUUUUGGGAAAAAAAAAAGAGUAGAAGCUUGUAAAUUGAGGAAGAAUUGAAGAAGAAGAUGACUUCUAUUCUAAAAUCUUCUAAAAUUGGGGAAA